GUCUACAGCCAUGCCACCCUGAACAAGCCUGACAUCUGAUCUCAGAAGCUAAGCAGGGUCAGGCCUGGUUUGUACUUGGAUGGGAGACCACCUAGGAAGACCGGGUGCUGUAGGCA
rnacentral:rRNA from 1 species